rnacentral:rRNA from 1 species
AUGAACGUGUUGAUUGCUGAGGGUAUCAGUGCAUCUUCAAGCAGCAGCACAUGCACAUCGAAGUUUUUUCUUCACAUCGCCGGCGGGAGCACAGCAACGAGCCGCUGCUGCCAAUACUGGGCUGCUGCUGCUCGUGGCGGUGGCGGUGGCGUAGUGGAGUUAGGAGGAGGAGGCGGAGGCGACGCCGGCUGCACGAAGUCAGGGGCGUACUCUCAUGUAACUCUCCUGAUGUUUGGACAAGAGCUAGCCGAUCAAAAAACAGGGUCAAACGACAACGAAGAGAGACAAAGAGAGUUGUAG